UUUUGCACUAGGAAUCACAAAUUCAAAUUCAAGUGAUUAAAGCCAUGAAAUCUGCAGUAAAACUUUCCACCAAAGUUCAUUAAACAACACUGAAACAACCAGCAAAAUAUCAACAACUUCAAAAUUCGCACCGAAACAGCCAAACUGCACCAAUUCUAGAAUUGGAGUCAAAUUAUCAAACAGAUGGUAUACUAAAAAUAAAAAUCUGCACCAAUUCUAAAUCACCAAUGUUGCCUCUGCUUUGGUUCAAAAUAAGAUCAAAUUAAUGCACCAAACAAUUCUUUCCACCACGAACACUAAAAUCUCCCUAAACAAUACUUGUUCCAACUUGAAUUUGUAGCUGCUUCGCUUGGAAAAAUCUUAGGUCACGAACAACACUGCUUCCAACAAUUCCACUAAAUGGAUUUAUGCUGCUUCAGUGAAGAACAACGAAACAGUUCCGAUUAGCACUUUUCCAAUGCGAUUCUAGAUCCAGUGGGGAUGUAAACUUAUGUUUCCGCUGGAAACCACAACAUCUCUGUUUCGCAAUCACUACUCAGUGUUCUCAGAUCACAGGAUUUAAAAAUCGAUUCAGAGAAUGAAGAAUAAUAAGAUUAUAAAUGCAUCGAAAACUCACCUGAAAUGCCACUUCUGUUCACCAAUUUAGGUUACCGGAAACGUAAAAACCUUCAUCCACUGAUUCUGUUCACCGGAAGCCGCAAAACCUCCUUACACCAAUUUCGUUCUCCAAAAACUACAAAACACCUCCGUUCGAGAUUCCUCUAACACCGCACCGCUUCAAUUAGAUUUCACACCGAACAAUUUUUUCGUCAAAAUUUUGUUUCUCAGUUUCGCACCAAACUCAGCUCACAUGUUUUCAAAAUCACAUUAAGAAUGAAGAACAAGAUGAACAAAUUGAAAACGCAUAUGAACGUGAACGAGCAACAAUUUUCGUGAAAUUUUGACAAUAGAAACAGAAUCAGAACUGCUAUUUGCACCACAGAUCCAAUGAGAUCUCACAAACAGAUCCAGAUUACUCUUCACAUCUUGAAAUUUCUUUUUAAACCACGAACAAUUUUUGGAAAAAAUUUAGAGAAUUUUCGAAAAUGAAUUUUGAGAGAAUGAUAAUGGAACCCUAACUCAAAGAAAAUUGCUAAUGAUCUAGUAGCAAUUUAUGAACUCAAAAACGAAAAUCAAAAGCACUCAAGAGCUCUAAUCUAUGAAGAAAUUUGAAAAAAAAUCAAAAAGUUUAACCAAUGAAUUUUGUGACAAUUUUUGGACUAAACAUGACUCCGGACAAAACAUUUAUGUCAAAAUGACUCAAAUAUAAGAAAAUUUCACCAAACAAAUUUGAAGAAAACUCAAAAAGUUCAAAAGCACACAUGAACAUGAACACAAGAACACCUAAAAAUAUAUACAUGAAGUUUCAAGUAAGAACAACUAAUUUGAACGGAACAAAAACACAAAAUCAUGAAAAACAAAAUAUGAAAACAACGCGAAAUUAUGAAAAAAAGUAGAAGAAAAUCUUAC
rnacentral:lncRNA from 1 species